rnacentral:rRNA from 1 species
CUACCAUGGCAAUAACGGGUAACGGAGGAUUAGGGUUCGAUUCCGGAGAGGAAGCCUGAGAAACGGCUACCACAUCUAAGGAUGGCAGCAGGCGCGUAAAUUACCCAAUUCUGAUUCAGAGAGGUAGUGACAAGAAAUAACAGACCGAUACUUUUGUAACGGGGUUGCAAUGAGCCGAAUUUUUCUUCCCUUGGUGAGGAGCAAUUGGAGGGCAAGUCUGGUGCCAGCAGCCGCGGUAAUUCCAGCUCCAAUAGCAUAUAUUAAAGUUGUUGCAGUUAAAAAGCUCGUAGUUGGAUUUCUGUGAGAGUAUGAUGUCCUAACGUGUUUAGAGCGCAGAAAACUCUUGCAUCCUUCUGUUACCUCCACGUGGCAUUCACUUGCCAGUGGUUGGCUCAGAGAAUUUACCUUGAGAAAAUUAGAGUGUUUCAGGCAGGCUAGGCCGGAAUACAUUAGCAUGGAAUAAUAGAAUAGGACUCCGGUCUCGUUGUUGGUUUGAGGGACUAUAGUAAUGAUUAAUAGGGAUAGUUGGGGGCAUUAGUAUUCGAUUGUCAGAGGUGAAAUUCUCAGAUUUAUUGAAGACUAACUUAUGCGAAAGCAUUUGCCAAGGAUGUUUUCAUUAAUCAA